GAGCAGGCAGGCAGAAAGGAGCAGGGAGAAGAGCACCAGCUCAGUCUGUCUGCGUUCAGCGUUCUGCUUCUCCAGACCCGCCAGACGACGACUCAUCUUCACCACCUGGACACGAGAAAGGUGCUGAUAUGUUAUACUGCACUGUGCUGCUGUGCCUCCCAUGCAGGCCCCAGCGGGAGGGCUGAGCCUUGCUUGGAUGACGUGAACAGUGGAUGGGGGCUCAUGUCCGGGGCAUCUAUUAGCCCAUCUCCAGACCAGCCAUGUCCCCACCUGUGAGAGACAGCCUGUCUGGGAUGUGCAUGCUGUAAGAAGCGGGACAGUCAGCACACUCCUGCCUCUCCUCUUCCCAUCUCUGUCCCAUGCCUGGCCCCACUCUCAGCCGGUCGGGGACACGCAUCUUCUGGUUGAUGGCCUCAGAGAAGAUGGUGUCACGGCCGCUGCGCACCUGGGAAACGUCACCCCGAAACUCCGAAGAGGCCAUGGCAGCUGCUGUUUUAAGAUCAAAAUGUGUUACAACUUCUGAAGUCAGUGCAUCUUUGACAAGCCUAUACUACCCCUGUAAAACUAUACUUGGAUGUAGUUAGCUGAUUAGGCAACAGGAUUAGUCAAAUGUUAGUAGGUUCAUUUUCAUGCAGUGUGGAUUAGCUGGAACUAUCCUGUGUUAUUCUUUGGGUGCAUAAAUCCAGUCUGCUCAACUCCAUCGUAAAUCUUUGAGUUUAAUUGGCUAGGGGCCUGUCAAAUCAUUGCAGAUGGCAGGCAACUCAAUUCAAUUAAUGUGAGAACAGUGUUCCUAGGUGGCUAGUUGUCUGAUUAAUCAGGCUGUAAUACACAAUGAAUUGGUAUAUACCGCCUUAAAGUAAUGCCUGCAAAUCAUGUACAUUUUCCUUACAAGACAGAAUACUUAAUAAAAUUAAAUGUAAACUUACUAUA